CGGGGCCGGAACACUGUCUGAGAGUACUAGAUUUCUCACAGUGAACCGGUCUCUUU
rnacentral:pre_miRNA from 1 species